AAUCGGAUCCGAGAGUCUUUUUCUAAAGGCCAGUACUGGCCACACUUUCUCCUGCCGCCUUCCUCAAAGCUGAAGACACACAGAGCAAGGCGCUUCUGUUUUACUCCCCAAUGGUAACUCCAAACCAUAGAUGGUUAGCUCCCUGCUCAUCUUUCCACAUCCCUGCUAUUCAGUAUAGUCCGUGGACCAAUCACACCAGCAUCGUAUGGGAGAGUGUAAGAAACAUGAAUCUGCAUGUCAACGAGAUCCCCAGGUGAGUCGUAGGUAGGUUUGGGAAGCACUGCUACAUACCCUCUCAGAGUCUUAAUCAUCAGAACUUCAGCCAUCACAUCCAGGCUGACAGUGUCAAACUGUAAGAAUCUCUAGCUGUUUUCAUCUCACCUAAGCUUCAGUUUUAUAAUCACAGAUUGCUUACUAAACCAUUAACCUUCUGUUUCCCAUAAUCUCAGAUCCAUUAUGUCUGUAACUAAGUCUCCUCCUUCAAAAUUAGCUUUAUCUUGGCCGGGUGCAGUGGCUCAUGCCUAUAAUCCCAGCACUUUGGGAGGCCAUGGCAGGCAGGUUGCCUGAGCUCAAGAGUUUGAGAUCAGCCUGGCAACAUGGUAAAACCCCAUCUCUAUGAAAAAUACAAAAAUUAGCCAGGUGUGGUGGCACAUGCCUGUAGUCUCAGGUACUUGGGAGGCUGAGGCACAAGAAUUGCUUGACCCCGGGAGGUGGAGGUUGCAGUGAGCCAAGAGCGCACCACUGCACUCCAGCCUGGGCAACAGAACGAGACUCUGUCUCAAAAAAAAAAAAAAUUAGCUUUAUCUUGCAACUUUCUUAUCUCUGUUAACAAUACUAGCAUUCUUAAAUCAUUCAGUCUUAAAAAGGUGAAGUCAACACUGACUUACCCAUUUCCUUCAUCUCCCAGAAGCAGUCAGUCACCAAAUCCUAGAGAUUUUUUACCUUUGAAAUGUUUUUGGUUUUUAUUCUUUUGCCCUCAUCUUCUCCCCAUCCUGUUCUUCCUGCUCGAUUUCACUGACACAAAGACCACGUCAUCUUCUAAGUUACUGUAACACCCUCUUAGUCUACUUUUUUGAAUAGGCCUUUUUCCCUUCCAAUCUACUCUGGGAAACCCCACCAGUUUAAUCUUUCUUAAAAAUUACUUCAUCAGAACAUAGACACACCAUGCUCACUUUGGCCUCUAUUCUUUCGCUCAAGCUGUCUCCGUCACCUCCAAUGCUAUUCAUUUUCUACCCAUUUUCAAGUGCCACCUCUUCCUUGAAGCUUUCUCUGACCACCGCAUUCCUUGUGAAGCUUCUUCUCUUUUGCUUUUGAUGGCACAGCUGGAUCUAUACAGGUUGACCAUUUAAUUUAUAUACUCUUCCAUCCAUUAUUUUACUUUGUGGGAAUUAAUGAUAUCUCACUAAACAUGGUCCUAAGGACAAAGGAUUACAGGUGUGAGCCACUGCACCUGGCCAAAUUCUCCUUUGCACAGGGCUGAGCACUCAGGGCUGAGCACUCAGCAAUAACUUUGAAGAUACUUGUGGGCUACCAACUCCACUUUGAUCAAGACAGUAACCGGCCGGGCGCAGGGCUCACACCUGUAAUCCCAACACUUUGGGAGGCCGAGGCAGGUGGAUCACUUGAGGUCAGGAGUCCGAGACCAGCCUGGCCAACAUGGUAAAACCCCGUCUCUACUAAAAAUAUGAAAAUUAGCUGGGCACGAUGGCAGGUGCCUGUAAUCCCAGCUACUCGGGAGCCUGAGUUAGGAGAAUUGUUUGAACCCAGGAGGCGGAGGUUGCAUUAAUUGCAUUAAACCAAGAUCGCACCAUUGAACUCCGGCCUGGGCGACAGCAAGACUCCAUCUCAAGAAAAAAAAAACGUAACAACUCAAGAUAAUUCCUUAUACUUUCUGGGUGUUUCUUUCCUCUCUGCUUUCAGGAAAGCAGGGCAGUACUAAUGGUUAAUUUUGGUCUAGAAGUCUGCUGGUUCUACUACCCUUAUUGCUAAGUCUUUUAGCAAGCACUAACAUGAUACUGGAAUACCCUCUCUGCAGAAGUGGAUGAUGUCAAAAACGUGAGAUCUUAGAAAUACACUAAAUAUCCAAUAAGAGAGGAUUAAUUAAAUUAUGACGUAUCAGGUGGGGUGCAGUGGCGCACGCCUGUAAUCCCAGCACUUUGGGAGGAUGAGGCAGGCAGAUCACUUGAGCCCAGAAGUUUGAGACCAACCUGGGCAACAUUGCAAAACCCUGUCCCUACAAAAAAUACAAAAACUAGCCAGGUGUAGUAGCACAUGCCUGUAGUCCCAGCUACUCAGGAGACUGAGGUGAGAGGAUCACCUGUGUGUGCCUGGAGAGGCCAAGGCUGCAUUGAGCCAUGAUCGUGAACCAUGAUCAUACCACUCUGUCACCCAGCCUAGGUGACAGAGUGAGACCCUGUCUCAAAAA
rnacentral:lncRNA from 1 species